GGCUGCACUCUCAGGACCGACCGCAUUUUUAGGACCGCAUCUUUAGGACCCUAGUUUUUUGUGACAGCGUCACCUGUCGGAUUGGAUCAUGGAUGCGCUAAUGGACGACACGGAUGACAAGGAAAGUGCCAUCGUACAUCCUCUGGGUGUCUUGAGGAGCUGGUCUUUGGAUAAUGCUGAGCAGGUCUUUCUUUCUGGUAAAGAUUAUCAUUACAGUGAAGUAAAAGAAUUUAACAGACAGAUUUACUAACAACUGACGAAAGAAGGGAGACCAUUCAAUAGUCCCUUUAUUUAUCAGGGGUUGCCACAGCA